GACGAACGCUGGCGGCGUGCUUAACACAUGCAAGUCGAGCGGAAAGGCCCUUUCGGGGGUACUCGAGCGGCGAACGGGUGAGUAACACGUGAGUAAUCUGCCCUUGGCUUUGGGAUAACCACCGGAAACGGUGGCUAAUACCGGAUAUGACGCGCUCCGGCAUCGGGGUGUGUGGAAAGUUUUUUCGGCCAGGGAUGUGCUCGCGGCCUAUCAGCUUGUUGGUGGGGUAAUGGCCUACCAAGGCUUCGACGGGUAGCCGGCCUGAGAGGGUGGCCGGCCACACUGGGACUGAGAAACGGCCCAGACUCCUACGGGGGGCAGCAGUGGGGAAUAUUGGACAAUGGGCGGAAGCCUGAUCCAGCAACGCCGCGUGAGGGAUGACGGCCUUCGGGUUGUAAACCUCUUUCAGUACCGACGAAGCGCCGAUGAUGGUGGUGACGGUAGGUACAGAAGAAGCACCGGCCAACUACGUGCCAGCCGCCGCGGUAA
rnacentral:rRNA from 1 species